rnacentral:rRNA from 1 species
AGGGUUUGAUCCUGGCUCAGGACGAACGCUGGCGGCGUGCUUAACACAUGCAAGUCAAGGAGAACGUUUUCUUCGGAAAAUUAUUAAACUGGCGAACGGGUUAGUAACGCGUAGGCAACCUACACUAUAGAUUGGGACAACCCCGUGAAAACAGGGCUAAUACCAAAUAAUAUAUAUUUUCUUUGGAUUUUAUAUCUAAGCAGGCUUCGGCUUGCACUAUUGAAUGGGCCUGCGUCUGAUUAGUUUGUUGGUAAGGUAACGGCUUACCAAGACUACGAUCAGUAGGUGGUUCGAGAGGAUGAUCACCAACACUGGGACUGAGAUACGGCCCAGACUCCUACGGGAGGCAGCAGUGGGGAAUUUUGCGCAAUGGGCGAAAGCUUGACGCAGCAACGCCGCGUGAUUGAAGAAGGUUUGCGGACUGUAAAAAUCUGUUAUAAGGGAAGAAUAGUCUCUGCUCUAACAAAGCAUUGAUUUGACGGUACCUUAUGAGAAAGCCCCGGCUAACUUCGUGCCAGCAGCCGCGGUAAUACGAGGGGGGCAAGCGUUGUCCGGAUUCAUUGGGCGUAAAGAGCUCGUAGGCGGAUUAAUCAGUCUGAAUUGAAAUCCAAUGGCUUAACCAUUGUCACGGUUCAGAUACUAUUAAUCUUGAGUUAUGUAGAGGUAAGUGGAAUUUCUGGUGUAGCGGUGAAAUGCGUAGAUAUCAGAAGGAACACCAAAGGCGAAGGCAACUUACUGGACAUCAACUGACGCUGAGGAGCGAAAGCGUGGGUAGCAAACAGGAUUAGAGACCCUGGUAGUCCACGCCGUAAACGAUGUGUACUUGGUGGUGGAGGAUUCGACCCUUUCACUGUCGGAGUUAACGCGUUAAGUACACCGCCUGGGGACUACGACCGCAAGGGUGAAACUCAAAAGAAUUGACGGGGACCCGCACAAGCGGUGGAUUAUGUGUUUAUUCGAUGCACGCGAAGAACCUUACCUGGUCUGAAUGUAGUGAGGAUCUGUGAAGCAGGUCCCUUCUUUAUGCUGGCAUAAAGACCUAUCACAGUGAUGCAUGCCUGUCGUCAGCUCGUUCCUGAAUGUCGUUAGUCGGAUACGAGGCAUCAUGGUCUUAAUUGCAGACGUAUGUGAGACUCUAAGAACUGACCUGGUUUUAACUCGG